UAAUACGUAGGUGGCAAGCGUUGUCCGGAAUUAUUGGGCGUAAAGCGCGCGCAGGCGGUCUUUUAAGUCUGAUGUGAAAGCCCACGGCUCAACCGUGGAGGUUCAUUGGAAACUGGAAGACUUGAGUGCAGAAGAGGAGAGUGGAAUUCCACGUGUAGCGGUGAAAUGCGUAGAGAUGUGGAGGAACACCAGUGGCGAAGGCGACUCUCUGGUCUGUAACUGACGCUGAGGCGCGAAAGCGUGGGGAGCAAACAGGAUUAGAUACCCUGGUAGUCCACGCCGUAAACGAUGAGUGCUAAGUGUUAGAGGGUUUCCGCCCUUUAGUGCUGCAGCUAACGCAUUAAGCACUCCGCCUGGGGAGUACGACCGCAAGGUUGAA
rnacentral:rRNA from 1 species